rnacentral:rRNA from 1 species
GUGGCGAACGGGUGAGUAAAAUAUCGGAACGUACCUUAUCGUGGGGGAUAAAAGCAGCAAAAGAUGUGCUAAUACCGCAUAAUCCCUAAGGGGGAAAGAGAGGAACAGUAAGGCCUCGCGCAAUUAGAGCGGCCGAUACAUGAUUAGCUAGUUGGUGAGGUAAAGGCUCACCAAGGCAACGAUCAGUAGCUGGUAUGAGAGGACGAUCAGCCACACUGGGACUGAGACACGGCCCAGACUCCUACGGGAGGCAGCAGUGGGGAAUUUUGGACAAUGGGGGCAACCCUGAGCCAGCAAUGCCGCGUGAGUGAAGAAGGCCUUCGGGUUGUAAAAUAAUGGUGUACAGAACGAAAAGGCUCUGGUUAAUACCUGGG